rnacentral:tRNA from 1 species
GCGAAAGUGGCGGAAUUGGCAGACGCGCUGGACUUAGGAUCCAGUGGGAGCAUCCCUUAGGGGUUCGAGUCCCCUCUUUCGCACCA